ACCCACUGUCCUUGGGAAGUUUAUUCAGUGCCUUCACCAUUUUCUGAUGAACAUGAUGGCAUACUGAAGUGUCUAAUUCAGAAAGAGAAUGGAGAGGUUAGAGAAACCAGAGAGUGACAGAAGAAAGCUGACCUUCAGCCUCAAUGUAAAAUGUCAAGAAAGAAAUGGUCAAGAGAAUCAUGUAAUGAGUUCUGUGCAAGAAAAGGGAAUCUUCCUGGAGGAAGUGGGCUUGUGCUGAAUCUUCCAGUAAUGGGGAACAGAAAGCUGGAGUCUCUGGGAACCAACAGAACUUCCUGCUUGUCAUGCCUCUUGAAAUUCAAGGAUUCCAGGAUAUUAAUUGUUCUGGCUCAGAAGCUGGGAACUGAUGAACAUAAAGGAGCACCAGAGAGCUACCAUCCCACCAAACCUUCCUCACCAAGGUGCAGAUGAAGCAGAAGGUGCAGCCUGACCAGUCAGCUACAGAAAAUGACCAUUGAAAGAAAGUAACAGUGAGAUUGCCUGAUCUUUAUCACAGAAGAGAGCAUGAAGAAUAGGUAUUAUCAUUGAGAAUUUCUUUUUGAAGACAGGAGAAACAUUGUCACAGACUCUGAAGGGUACACACUUGUGGAGAAGACACCAGGGAAAUUCUUAGACAGCUAUUUUGGCAAGCCUCCUGAGAGAGCUCAUGCAGCUCCACCUCCCAUCAUCUAAACAGCCUGCCUCUACCGGUGUAGGGUCAGAA